AACCCCCCACGCGGCGUCACCUCGCCCAAUUCCCCCAGGGCCGGAAGGCAGCAAGGGUAAGUGAGCUCUAGCGGGUGCGUGGGGGGCCUCU
rnacentral:SRP_RNA from 1 species